AGUCAUCCAUAAAUUGUAAAUAAUCCUAGCAGAUUAUGAACUGUCUUACUGCACCAGCUCAAGUUGGCAAUUGGCAGGUAUACUCAGAGAGUUAUGUUGUUCUUGCUAAUAUUGAGCACACAGGACUGAUCACACAUGGGAGAUAUAGUCAGGAAGAAAACCUUAUUAGAACAUUACUGAUACCAACUGACAGUGGUUCAGGGUACAGGCACCCAAAGGCAAGACUCAGAAGGAAGCACGUUUGACCUUGGAAAUGGAUGUUGUUCACAAACUUAAGAUGAGCUGGUGUUGUAUCGUUUGUAUGUGACUACUAAAGAAACUUCCCAUUCCAACAUACACUGAUGAGGAAUACCUAU